rnacentral:rRNA from 1 species
UGGGGAAUAUUGGACAAUGGGCGAAAGCCUGAUCCAGCAAUGCCGCGUGAAUGAUGAAGGCCUUAGGGUUGUAAAGUUCUUUUAGUGGGGAAGAUAAUGACGGUACCCACAGAAAAAGCUCCGGCUAACUCCGUGCCAGCAGCCGCGGUAAUACGGAGGGAGCUAGCGUUGUUCGGAAUUACUGGGCGUAAAGAGCACGUAGGCGGUUUAGUAAGUUGGAAGUGAAAUCCCAGGGCUUAACCCUGGAACUGCUUUCAAAACUACUAAUCUAGAGAUCGAUAGGGGAUAGUAGAAUUCCUAGUGUAGAGGUGAAAUUCUUAGAUAUUAGGAGGAAUACCGGUGGCGAAGGCGGCUAUCUGGAUCGAUACUGACGCUGAGGUGCGAAAGCGUGGGGAGCAAA